rnacentral:lncRNA from 1 species
GAGGGUAGAAUGAAAUUAGAAGAUAAGACUGAAAACAGGAGCUGCACCCACAUCUGUUGACAAGAGCACCAAGGUUAAUUAUUAGAAGACAGAAACUAUCCCUUUAGGAUCUGGAGUCAAGGAUUGGACUGAAGUACCAACACUGGCUUUUGUUGCUAACUCCCUGAAUUUAUAGGAAACAUGGUUGAGUUUACUAAACUCAACAUUUGGUUGAGUUUACUAAACUUUUAAGGAACUUGGGUUUCCAGAGAAACUGCAACACCCAUAAACU